UACGGAGGGUGCGAGCGUUGUCCGGAAUCAUUGGGCGUAAAGGGCGCGUAGGUGGCCCGGUCAGUUCGUGGUGGAAGCGCGGGGCUCAACCCUGCGUCGGCCAUGAAUACUGCCGCGGCUGGAGCACUGUAGAGGCAGGCGGAAUUCCGGGUGUAGCGGUGGAAUGCGUAGAGAUCCGGAAGAACACCAGUGGCGAAGGCGGCUCACUGGACCGGUAUUGACGCUGAGGUGCGAAAGCGUGGGGAGCAACAGGG
rnacentral:rRNA from 1 species